UCAGGCCUAACACAUGCAAGUCGAACGAGCUAAUGGGUAACUAUUAGUUUAGUGGCGGACGGGUGAGUAACGCGUAAGAACCUGCCUUUUGGAGGGGGAUAACAGUGGGAAACUGCUUGUAAUACCCCGUAAUUGCUGAGGAGCUAAAACAACGAAAGUUGGCCAAGAGAGGGGCUUGCGUCUGAUUAGCUAGUUGGUAGGGUAAAGGCCUACCAAGGCCACGAUCAGUAGCUGGUCUGAGAGGACGAACAGCCACACUGGAACUGAGACACGGUCCAGACUCCUACGGGAGGCAGCAGUGAGGAAUUUUCCACAAUGGGCGAAAGCCUGAUGGAGCAAUACGGCGUGUAGGAAGAAGGCCCGUGGGUCGUAAACUACUUUUCUCAGAGAAGAAAAAUG
rnacentral:rRNA from 1 species